CGUCAUGUAGACUCUGUGAGGACUGGUUCCAGCUCUCAGUGAUUGGAUACGGCAGCUUCCGAGACCGACAGAGGCCACUUUGACCGCUGGGAAUACAGUACCGAGGGCACAGGAAAGCCACUGUCUGCUGCAGAGGAUCUGGAUGGGGUGGCAGCGUAUGGCAAUGGGAUGCAGAGAUGGAGGACAAGGGCUCCCAGAUCUAAUAUGAUUUAGCGCCAUUACUGCCAUGCCCGUCAGAUCUCUUCGAGGGAAAUGAAAAACAGCAGUCAUUUUAAGGUGCAGGCUAAAGGUUAGUUCAUGUAGAGGGAGUCUGG